rnacentral:rRNA from 1 species
AGUGAACGCUGGCGGUAGGCCUAACACAUGCAAGUCGAACGGCAGCACAGUAAGAGCUUGCUCUUACGGGUGGCGAGUGGCGGACGGGUGAGGAAUACAUCGGAAUCUACUUUUUCGUGGGGGAUAACGUAGGGAAACUUACGCUAAUACCGCAUACGACCUACGGGUGAAAGCAGGGGAUCUUCGGACCUUGCGCGAUUGAAUGAGCCGAUGUCGGAUUAGCUAGUUGGCGGGGUAAAGGCCCACCAAGGCGACGAUCCGUAGCUGGUCUGAGAGGAUGAUCAGCCACAACGGAAAUGAGACACGGUCCAGACUCCUAAGGGAGGCAGCAGGGGGGAAUAUUGGAAAAUGGGGGCAAGCCUGAUCCAGCCCUACCGCGGGGGUGAAGAAGGCCUUUGGGUUGUAAAGCCCUUUUGUUGGGAAAGAAAAGCAGCAGGUUAAUACCCCGCUGUUUUGACGGGACCCAAAGAAUAAGCACCGGCUAAAUUCGUG